GCUGAUUUAUGGUCCAACAGAGACUGAUUCAAAAUCCGUUGGUGCUUACGCACCGUGAGGGUUCAAGUCCCUCCUCGG
rnacentral:tRNA from 1 species